GACUAAUGAAAGUAUUUAGAAAAUUGGGCAGACUAGAUGGGCCAAAUGGUUCUUAUCUGCCGUCACAUUCUAUGAUGUAGUGUGUGUAUAUCUCUAUAUGAAGCAAAUAAUGUCUGUUGUGCUGAAUUCUGCCUAUUCCUGCAAACAAAAAUUUUGUUGUGCAGAACCUUUUUUUGUGCAACACACACUGUUAUUAUAAUUGCAAGCAUUAUGCCGAAUACUUUUUUCUAGAGAGAAACCAAUCACUUCCCUCGUUCUUGUUCAUACUUAAAGAGUGAUGAAUUGCUUGCAAGUUUCCAUAAAGUCUUGUUCAAUCAGUA